rnacentral:rRNA from 1 species
UGCUGUGAAAACCCGAGGCUCAACCUCGGGCCUGCAGUGGGUACGGGCAGACUAGAGUGCGGUAGGGGAGAAUGGAAUUCCUGGUGUAGCGGUGGAAUGCGCAGAUAUCAGGAGGAACACCGAUGGCGAAGGCAGUUCUCUGGGCCGUAACUGACGCUGAGGAGCGAAAGGUGGGGAGCGAACAGGAUUAGAUACCCUGGUAGUCCACGCCGUAAACGUUGGGCGCUAGAUGUGGGGCCGUGUCGCAGCUAACGAUUAAGCGCCCCGCCUGGGGAGUACGGCCGCAAGGCUAAAACUCAAAGGAAUUGACGGGGGCCCGCACAAGCGGCGGAGCAUGCGGAUUAAUUCGAUGCAACGCGAAGAACCUUACCAAGGCUUGACAUACAGGUGGUGCAUGGUUGUCGUCAGCUCGUGUCGUGAGAUGUUGGGUUAAGUCCCGCAACGAGCGCAACCCUCGUUCUAUGUUGCAACUCAUAGGAGACUGCCGGGGUCAACUCGGAGGAAGGUGGGGAUGACGUCAAAUCAUCAUGCCCCUUAUGUCUUGGGCUUCACGCAUGCUACAAUGGCCGGUACAAAGGGCUGCAAUACCGUAAGGUGGAGCGAAUCCCAAAAAGCCGGUCUCAGUUCGGAUUGAGGUCUGCAACUCGACCUCAUGAAGUCGGAGUCGCUAGUAAUCGCAGAUCAGCACGCUGCGGUGAAUACG